CAGCAGCCGCGGUAAUACGUAGGAUGCAAGCGUUAAUCGGAAUUACUGGGCGUAAAGCGUGCGCAGGCGGUUAUAUAAGACAGAUGUGAAAUCCCCGGGCUCAACCUGGGAACUGCAUUUGUGACUGUAUAGCUAGAGUACGGCAGAGGGGGAUGGAAUUCCGCGUGUAGCAGUGAAAUGCGUAGAUAUGCGGAGGAACACCGAUGGCGAAGGCAAUCCCCUGGGCCUGUACUGACGCUCAUGCACGAAAGCGUGGGGAGCAAACAGGAUUAGAUACCCGCGUAGUCCCUGUCUCUUAUAC
rnacentral:rRNA from 1 species